GGCGAUCAGAUACCGCCCUAGUUCUGACCGUAAACGAUGCCAACUAGCGAUCCGCCGGUGGAUUUUUAGCCCUGGUGGGUAGCUUCCCGGAAACGAAAGUCUUCCGGUUCCGGGGGAAGUAUGGUUGCAAAGCUGAAACUUAAAGGAAUUGACGGAAGGGCACCACCAGGAGUGGAGCCUGCGGCUUAAUUUGACUCAACACGGGGAAACUCACCCGGCCCGGACACCGUAAGGAUUGACAGAUUGAUAGCUCUUUCAUGAUUCGGUGGUUGGUGGUGCAUGGCCGUUCUUAGUUCGUGGAUCGAUUUGUCUGGUUUAUUCCGAUAACGAGCGAGACUCUAGCCUACUAAAUAGUAACGAGAUUAUCAAUGUCUCAGUUGCUUCUUAGAGGGAUUUUCGGUGUUUAGCCGCACGAGAUUGAGCAAUAACAGGUCUGUGAUGCCCUUAGAUGUCCGGGGCUGCACGCGCGCUACACUGGCGAAAUCAGCGUGCUGUAUCCAUUCUCGAAAGGGAUUGGUAAACCCAUGAAAAUUUGCCGUGCUUGGGAUCGGAAAUUGCAAUUAUUUUCCGUGAACGAGGAAUUCCAAGUAAGUGCGAGUCAUCAACUCGCUCUGAUUACGUCCCUGCCCUUUGUA
rnacentral:rRNA from 2 species